rnacentral:rRNA from 1 species
CGGAGGAUCCAAGCGUUAUCCGGAAUCAUUGGGUUUAAAGGGUCCGUAGGCGGUUUAGUAAGUCAGUGGUGAAAGCCCACCGCUCAACGGUGGAACGGCCAUUGAUACUGCUAGACUUGAAUUAUUAGGAAGUAACUAGAAUAUGUAGUGUAGCGGUGAAAUGCUUAGAGAUUACAUGGAAUACCAAUUGCGAAGGCAGGUUACUACUAAUGGAUUGACGCUGAUGGACGAAAGCGUGGGUAGCGAACAGGAUUAGAUACCCUGGUAGUCCACGCCGUAAACGAUGGAUACUAGCUGUUGGGAGCGAUCUCAGUGGCUAAGCGAAAGUGAUAAGUAUCCCACCUGGGGAGUACGUUCGCAAGAAUG